UACGUAGGGUGCAAGCGUUAAUCGGAAUUACUGGGCGUAAAGCGUGCGCAGGCGGUUAUGUAAGACAGAUGUGAAAUGCCCGGGCUUAACCUGGGAACUGCAUUUGUGACUGCAUGGCUAGAGUUUGGCAGAGGGGGGUAGAAUUCCACGUGUAGCAGUGAAAUGCGUAGAGAUGUGGAGGAACACCGAUGGCGAAGGCAGCCCCCCUGGGUCAAGAUUGACGCUCAUGCACGAAAGCGUGGGGAGCAAACAGG
rnacentral:rRNA from 1 species